rnacentral:rRNA from 1 species
AAAUUGAAGAGUUUGAUCAUGGCUCAGAUUGAACGCUGGCGGCAGGCCUAACACAUGCAAGUCGAACGGUAGCACAGAGAGCUUGCUCUCGGGUGACGAGUGGCGGACGGGUGAGUAAUGUCUGGGAAACUGCCUGAUGGAGGGGGAUAACUACUGGAAACGGUGGCUAAUACCGCAUAACGUCGCAAGACCAAAGAGGGGGACCUUCGGGCCUCUUGCCAUCAGAUGUGCCCAGAUGGGAUUAGCUUGUUGGUGAGGUAACGGCUCACCAAGGCGACGAUCCCUAGCUGGUCUGAGAGGAUGACCAGCCACACUGGAACUGAGACACGGUCCAGACUCCUACGGGAGGCAGCAGUGGGGAAUAUUGCACAAUGGGCGCAAGCCUGAUGCAGCCAUGCCGCGUGUAUGAAGAAGGCCUUCGGGUU